GACGAACGCUGGCGGCGUGCUUAACACAUGCAAGUCGAACGGAAAGGCCCUGCUUUUGUGGGGUGCUCGAGUGGCGAACGGGUGAGUAACACGUGAGUAACCUGCCCUUAACUUUGGGAUAACUUCAGGAAACUGGGGCUAAUACCGGAUAGGAGCUCCUGCUGCAUGGUGGGGGUUGGAAAGUUUCGGCGGUUGGGGAUGGACUCGCGGCUUAUCAGCUUGUUGGUGGGGUAGUGGCUUACCAAGGCUUUGACGGGUAGCCGGCCUGAGAGGGUGACCGGCCACAUUGGGACUGAGAUACGGCCCAGACUCCUACGGGAGGCAGCAGUGGGGAAUAUUGCACAAUGGGCGGAAGCCUGAUGCAGCAACGCCGCGUGCGGGAUGACAGCCUUCGGGUUGUAAACCGCUUUCGCCUGUGACGAAGCGUGAGUGACGGUAAUGGGUAAAGAAGCACCGGCUAACUACGUG
rnacentral:rRNA from 1 species